AUGUGCGAGAACUUCUUAGGUUGUAGGCCACACUGGGGCCUUUUCAAGCAUAUUUUCACGUGUCGUUCCCAGUUGGUCAAGAAGGCCAACCCGAGUGAUGAGAGGACGCACGUGAUCCAGAUGUGCGGGGGUCUUGGGAUUCAAAUGAGAGGUAAAAGCACUUUCCCAGCCAUGAUCCUUCCCGAGUCAGUCCGAGGAUGGCAGUCGACCUGGUUCUAUUGCAAAGACCAGCCGACUCCAGGUCAAUCGACCGGACUUCCACCCUUCUCUAUGGUUCGGGUCGAAAAGCCCUCCGCCUUGAAAAUGAUCCCGAAGGAGAAGGCACAGGUGAAGGUGUUGGUCGAGCGGGUGGUCCAACUCGUCUGUGACGGCGUGACUGGCAUGGAUCUGCUGGAGGUCUUCCUUAAAUGA
rnacentral:rRNA from 1 species